AAAGUCAAGUUUCACAUCUAGUAUCACAUGAUCUCACUUAUAUAUGGAAUCUAAUGAACUAAAUAAACUGACAGACAAAACAGACCAGAGACAUGGAAUCAUAUAACA